UACAGAGGGUGCGAGCGUUAAUCGGAAUUACUGGGCGUAAAGCGCACGUAGGCGGCUUUUCAAGUCGAUUGUGAAAUCCCCGGGCUCAACCUGGGAACUGCAGUCGAGACUGUCUAGCUAGAGUAUGGGAGAGGGAAGUGGAAUUUCAGGUGUAGCGGUGAAAUGCGUAGAUAUCUGAAGGAACAUCAGUGGCGAAAGCGACUUCCUGGACCAAUACUGACGCUCAUGUGCGAAAGCGUGGGGAGCAAACAGG
rnacentral:rRNA from 1 species